rnacentral:rRNA from 1 species
CUUGCACCUUUCAGUGAGUGCGACGGGUGAGUAACACGUGGACAACCUGCCUCAAGGCUGGGGAUAACAUUUGGAAACAGAUGCUAAUACCGAAUAAAACUUAGUGUCGCAUGACACAAAGUUAAAAGGCGCUUCGGCGUCACCUAGAGAUGGAUCCGCGGUGCAUUAGUUAGUUGGUGGGGUAAAGGCCUACCAAGACAAUGAUGCAUAGCCGAGUUGAGAGACUGAUCGGCCACAUUGGGACUGAGACACGGNCCAAACUCCUACGGGAGGCUGCAGUAGGGAAUCUUCCACAAUGGGCGAAAGCCUGAUGGAGCAACGCCGCGUGUGUGAUGAAGGCUUUCGGGUCGUAAAGCACUGUUGUAUGGGAAGAACAGCUAGAAUAGGAAAUGAUUUUAGUUUGACGGUACCAUACCAGAAAGGGACGGCUAAAUACGUGCCAGCAGCCGCGGUAAUACGUAUGUCCCGAGCGUUAUCCGGAUUUAUUGGGCGUAAAGCGAGCGCAGACGGUUUAUUAAGUCUGAUGUGAAAGCCCGGAGCUCAACUCCGGAAUGGCAUUGGAAACUGGUUAACUUGAGUGCAGUAGAGGUAAGUGGAACUCCAUGUGUAGCGGUGGAAUGCGUAGAUAUAUGGAAGAACACCAGUGGCGAAGGCGGCUUACUGGACUGCAACUGACGUUGAGGCUCGAAAGUGUGGGUAGCAAACAGGAUUAGAUACCCUGGUAGUCCACACCGUAACGAUGACACUAGGUGUUAGGAGGUUCCGCCUCUUAUGCCGAGCUAACGCAUUAGUGUUCCCCUGGGAGUCNACCCAAGUUGAACUCAAAGAUUGA